rnacentral:rRNA from 1 species
UACGUAGGUGGCGAGCGUUAUCCGGAAUUACUGGGUGUAAAGGGAGCGCAGGCGGGGCGACAAGUCAGCUGUGAAAACUAUGGGCUUAACUCAUAGACUGCAGUUGAAACUGUUGCUCUUGAGUGGAGUAGAGGCAAGCGGAAUUCCGAGUGUAGCGGUGAAAUGCGUAGAUAUAGGAAGGAACAUCAGUGGCGAAGGCGACCACCUGGACUGAUACUGACACUGAGGUGCGAAAGCAUGGGGAGCGAACA